UCUGGUGACCUAGUGGUUAGAGCGUCAGCCUCGGAUGCUGGAGGUUGCGGGCUCGAACCACGAUCCAGUCAU